UGUGCCCAAUGGGUGCCUAUCUAUUCAGGGCAAAAUUUAGGGCCAGGGACUGUGACAUGAGCCAGAGUGGUGGUGGUGGGAACAGAGAAGGAGUGUGGAGGGCAGGUGGCACUGCCAGGGAAGGAGUGUGGAGGGCAGGUGGCACUGCCAGGGAAGGAGUGUGGAGGGCAGGUGGCACUGCCAGGGAAGGAGUGUGGAGGGCAGGUGGCACUGCCAGGGAAGGAGUGUGGAGGGCAGGUGGCACUGCCAGGGAAGGAGUGGGGAAGGGAUCAGGCAGGC